rnacentral:rRNA from 1 species
CUACGGGAGGCAGCAGUAGGGAAUAUUGCUUAAUGGGCGAAAGCCUGAAGCAGCAACGCCGCGUGCACGAUGAAGGCCUUCGGGUUGUAAAGUGCUUUUUGAGGGGAUGAGGAAGGACGGUACCCUCAGAAUAAGCCUCGGCUAACUACGUGCCAGCAGCCGCGGUAAAACGUAGGAGGCGAGCGUUAUUCGGAUUUACUGGGCGUAAAGCGUGUGUAGGUGGUGCGGUUAGUUGGAUGUGAAAGCUCCUGGCUUAACUGGGAGAGGUCGUUCAAUACUGCCGUGCUAGAGAGUGAGAGAGGGAAGUGGAAUUCCGGGUGUAGUGGUGAAAUGCGUAGAUAUCCGGAGGAACACCAGUGGCGAAAGCGACUUCCUGGCUCAUUUCUGACACUCAGACACGAAAGCUAGGGUAGCAAACGGGAUUAGAAACCCCUGUAGUCC